UCCUCACUUCUUCUUUGAUCAGAUCAAGAUGGCCAGCAGCAGUAGCAACUCCAAGCCCAGAUGACUGCCCUUAGAAGCUAAUCCAGAAGUCAUGAACAUGUAUGUCGAUGGACUUGGUGUAGGAAACUCUUUUCAAUUUUGUGACGUCUUUGGAUUAGAUCCUGACCUAUUGAUGAUACCCCAGCCUUGUGCUGCCCCCUCGUUAUGUUCCCAGUCACAGACAAGUACGAAGCUUUUCGAAAAGAGGAAGAAGAGAAGAUUGAGAAAGAAG